rnacentral:rRNA from 1 species
GAUGAACGCUGGCGGCGUGCUUAACACAUGCAAGUCGAACGGUGAAGCCAAGCUUGCUUGGUGGAUCAGUGGCGAACGGGUGAGGAACACGUGAGCAACCUGCCCUGGACUCUGGGAUAAGCGCUGGAAACGGCGACUAAUACCGGAUAUGAGCCUCUUCCGCAUGGUGGGGGGUGGAAAGAUUUUUUGGUCUGGGAUGGGGUCGGGGCCGAUCAGCUUGUUGGUGAGGUAUUGGCUCACCAAGGCGUCGACGGGUAGCCGGCCUGAGAGGGGGACCGGCCACACAGGGACUGAGCCACGGCCCACACUCGUGCGGGAGGCAGCAGUGGGGAAUGUUGCAUGAAGGGCGAAAGCCUGAUGCAGCAACGCCGCGUGAGGGAUGACGGCCUUCGGGUUGGAAGCCUCUUUUCGCAGGGAGGAAGCGAAAGUAACGUUACCGGAAAAAAAGGCCCCGGCAAAUUACGG